GUGAAUCAUCGAAUUUUUGAACGCAAAUUGCACUCUCUGCUGAUAUUAUGCCUGUUUGUGGUUGAGCCUAAAAUAAAUCUACAUAGUUGCUUUUUUUCGGUGACAUUCGUCGGAAAUUGGGUCAUCUUAAAGCUGUGGUUUUUUAGCGGCUUAAAAUUUUCUUUACAUUUCCACAAUCAUUGCUAAUAUUUUACUUAUUACACUUUUAUGUAA
rnacentral:misc_RNA from 1 species